rnacentral:vault_RNA from 1 species
GGGCCGGCUAUAGCCCAGCGGUUACUUCGGUCUCUACACGCUAUUGUGUUCCGCCCCGUCAGGGGUUCGAUACCGCGGGCACCCCUGGCUCAUUU